AGUUCAGUGGUUGGAGCGCUGGUCCUGUAAACCAGAAGUCAUGAUUUCAAAUCUCAU
rnacentral:tRNA from 1 species